rnacentral:rRNA from 1 species
GAUGAACGCUGGCGGCGUGCCUAAUACAUGCAAGUCGAGCGAACAGACGAGGAGCUUGCUCCUCUGACGUUAGCGGCGGACGGGUGAGUAACACGUGGAUAACCUACCUAUAAGACUGGGAUAACUUCGGGAAACCGGAGCUAAUACCGGAUAAUAUAUUGAACCGCAUGGUUCAAUAGUGAAAGACGGUUUUGCUGUCACUUAUAGAUGGAUCCGCGCCGCAUUAGCUAGUUGGUAAGGUAACGGCUUACCAAGGCAACGAUGCGUAGCCGACCUGAGAGGGUGAUCGGCCACACUGGAACUGAGACACGGUCCAGACUCCUACGGGAGGCAGCAGUAGGGAAUCUUCCGCAAUGGGCGAAAGCCUGACGGAGCAACGCCGCGUGAGUGAUGAAGGUCUUCGGAUCGUAAAACUCUGUUAUUAGGGAAGAACAAAUGUGUAAGUAACUAUGCACGUCUUGACGGUACCUAAUCAGAAAGCCACGGCUAACUACGUGCCAGCAGCCGCGGUAAUACGUAGGUGGCAAGCGUUAUCCGGAAUUAUUGGGCGUAAAGCGCGCGUAGGCGGUUUUUUAAGUCUGAUGUGAAAGCCCACGGCUCAACCGUGGAGGGUCAUUGGAAACUGGAAAACUUGAGUGCAGAAGAGGAAAGUGGAAUUCCAUGUGUAGCGGUGAAAUGCGCAGAGAUAUGGAGGAACACCAGUGGCGAAGGCGACUUUCUGGUCUGUAACUGACGCUGAUGUGCGAAAGCGUGGGGAUCAAACAGGAUUAGAUACCCUGGUAGUCCACGCCGUAAACGAUGAGUGCUAAGUGUUAGGGGGUUUCCGCCCCUUAGUGCUGCAGCUAACGCAUUAAGCACUCCGCCUGGGGAGU